rnacentral:rRNA from 1 species
GACGAACGCUGGCGGCGUGCCUAAUACAUGCAAGUAGAACGCUGAAGGAGGAGCUUGCUUCUCUGGAUGAGUUGCGAACGGGUGAGUAACGCGUAGGUAACCUGCCUGGUAGCGGGGGAUAACUAUUGGAAACGAUAGCUAAUACCGCAUAAGAGUAGAUGUUGCAUGGACAUUUACUUAAAAGGUGCAAUUGCAUCACU